rnacentral:rRNA from 1 species
UACAGAAGGUGCAAGCGUUAAUCGGAUUUAUUGGGCGUAAAGGGUGCGUAGGUGGUAAAGCAAGUAAGAUGUGAAAGCCCCGGGCUUAACCUGGGAAGUGCAUCUUAAACUGCUUAACUAGAGCAUGGUAGAGGGUAGUGGAAUUUCCGGUGUAGCGGUGAAAUGCGUAGAUAUCGAAAGGAACGCCAGUGGUGAAGACGACUACCUGGACCAAUACUGACACUGAGGCACGAAAGCGUGGGGAUCAAACAGG